GCCGGGUGUGGUGGUGCACGCCUGUAAUCCCAGCAGCUUGGGAGGUGGAGGCAGGAGGAUUGCGAGUUCAAAGCCAGCCUCAGCAACCGCAAGGCACUAAGCAACUCAGUGAGACCCUGCCUCUA
rnacentral:sRNA from 1 species